GUGAUCAUGAAGGUAUAAAAUAAAGUCAUGCCUCAACCAAGGUGCAGCAAUUUAUCCUGUGAAACCUGUGCUGCAGGUUUUAUGUGUAAACUAUGUCCUAUGCAUCAUUUAGCUGACACCAUCCCACCUCCAAGACCCCAUCCCCUGUUGGAGGCUGGCCCACCCCACAGCAACUGGCGCUGGGGACCAGGGACUCUUGACUAGGGACAGAUGCAGCAGUAGAUGGAAGGCUUAAGGUCAAAAAGAAGGUUGCCUCUCUUUGCACUGGAGUCUUUCCACAUCCCUGGUUGGAGAUCAGGAGGCACCUGGUGAAGAUAAAAGUCCAGCAGUCACACUUAGGGGAUACAUACAGUGGGAAAUGGAAAAAGGCUCUGUAGGUGAUGCUCUUUGCAUAAGAAGCAUGAAACACCACCAUCUCAGAAGAAUCAUAAAUGCAAGUGAUCCAAAGGCUGAAGGAGAGAUGCAUGGUGCAGCAGAUGGCAGCAUUUUGAUGAUCCUCUACUUAGAAAGCUCCCAGAAUGCUGGAUUUGGUGUUGGAGGACCUGGAUUAAAAUACAGGUUCAAUGGUGUGAUGUCAGACCAAUCCAGGAAACAUUCCUCCCUGAAGUAG
rnacentral:lncRNA from 1 species